UCACUAUUGGAUCCAGACUUUGAUCCUGGCUCAGGAUGAACUCUAGCUACAGGCUUAACACAUGCAAGUCGAGGGGAAACGAUAGAGAAAGCUUGCUUUUUCUAGGCGUCGACCGGCGCACGGGUGAGUAACGCGUAUCCAACCUGCCCAUCACUUGGGGAUAACCUUGCGAAAGUAAGACUAAUACCCAAUGACGUCUCUAGAAGACAUCUGAAAGAGAUUAAAGAUUUAUCGGUGAUGGAUGGGGAUGCGUCUGAUUAGCUUGUUGGCGGGGUAACGGCCCACCAAGGCUACGAUCAGUAGGGGUUCUGAGAGGAAGGUCCCCCACAUUGGAACUGAGACACGGUCCAAACUCCUACGGGAGGCAGCAGUGAGGAAUAUUGGUCAAUGGGCGAGAGCCUGAACCAGCCAAGUAGCGUGCAGGAUGACGGCCCUAUGGGUUGUAAACUGCUUUUAUAAGGGAAUAAAGUGAGCCUCGUGAGACUUUUUGCAUGUACCUUAUGAAUAAGGACCGGCUAAUUCCGCGCCAGCAGCCGCGGUAAUACGGAAGGUCCGGGCGUUAUCCGGAUUUAUUGGGUUUAAAGGGAGCGUAGGCCGGAGAUUAAGCGUGUUGUGAAAUGUAGACGCUCAACGUCUGCACUGCAGCGCGAACUGGUUUCCUUGAGUACGCACAAAGUGGGCGGAAUUCGUGGUGUAGCGGUGAAAUGCUUAGAUAUCACGAAGAACUCCGAUUGCGAAGGCAGCUCACUGGAGCGCAACUGACGCUGAAGCUCGAAAGUGCGGGUAUCGAACAGGAUUAGAUACCCUGGUAGUCCGCACGGUAAACGAUGGAUGCCCGCUGUUGGUCUGAAUAGGUCAGCGGCCAAGCGAAAGCAUUAAGCAUCCCACCUGGGGAGUACGCCGGCAACGGUGCAACUCAAAUGAAUUGACGGA
rnacentral:rRNA from 1 species